UGGAUUGUGGCAGUAAAUCGGGGCGAGUGGGGAACCCGGCGCAGGAACUGCCGCUGCGGCCGGGAGCGGUGCUUCCCGGACGGGGGCCCACGGCGGUCGGUAGGGCGGCGAACUGGAGAGCUGACAGCGCGCUGCACUCGCAGUAGGGACCGGGAAGAGAACUCGUGGAAGCUGGAACCCCACAGGUCACCAGUCAAGAUGAAGGCGGCAGAUGAGCCUGCCUACCUGACAGUGGGAACUGACGUCAGUGCCAAGUACCGAGGAGCCUUCUGUGAGGCGAAGAUCAAGACUGUGAAAAGGCUGGUGAAAGUCAAGGUAUUGUUGAAACAGGAUAACACAACACAGUUGGUGCAAGAUGACCAAGUAAAGGGUCCCUUAAGAGUCGGAGCUAUUGUUGAAACAAGGACAUCUGAUGGAUCCUUCCAGGAAGCUAUUAUCAGCAAGUUGACAGAUGCUAGUUGGUAUACCGUGGUAUUUGAUGACGGGGAUGAGAGAACGCUGCGCCGCACCUCACUUUGCCUGAAAGGGGAAAGACACUUUGCUGAGAGUGAGACGCUUGACCAGCUUCCUUUAACGAAUCCAGAGCACUUUGGAACACCAGUCAUUGCAAAGAAGGCGAACAGAGGGAGGAGGUCGUCACUUCCUAUCACUGAAGACGAAAAGGAAGAAGAAAGUAGUGAAGAGGAGGAUGAGGAUGAGCGGCGUCUCAGUGAUGGCUUACUGGGAAAAGUGGUGCGUGUGACCACUGCAGCAGAGAGGCCGGAGUGGUACCCUGCUUUGGUCAUCUCUCCCAGCUGCAAUGAUGAUGUCACAGUGAAAAAGGACCAGUGUUUAGUUCGAUCAUUUAUUGAUUCUAAAUUUUACUCCAUAGCAAGAAAGGACAUUAAGGAACUAGACAUUCUCAAUCUGUCGGAAUCUGAGCUCUGUGCUAAACCAGGGCUGCAGAGAGCAAGUAUCUUCUUAAAAGCUAGAAUCGUUCCUGAUAAUUGGAAAAUGGACAUAAGUGAGAUUCUUGAGUCAUCCAGCAGUGAUGAUGAGGAAGACUGCCCAACUGAGGAGAAUGAAGAGGAGAAGGAAAAAGAAGCCAAGAAGGAGGAAGAAGAACUGCCUGAGGAAGAACCUGAUCCUGAAGAGAGGGACAACUUCCUGCAGCAGCUUUAUAAGUUUAUGGAAGACAGAGGUACUCCAAUCAACAAACCUCCUGUUCUGGGCUACAAAGACCUCAAUCUCUUCAAGCUCUUUAGACUGGUCUACCACCAGGGGGGAUGUGACAAUAUUGACAGUGGUGCUGUAUGGAAGCAAAUUUAUAUGGACCUUGGCAUUCCAAUUCUGAACUCAGCUGCUUCCUACAAUGUAAAAACUGCUUAUAGAAAAUAUCUCUAUGGUUUUGAGGAGUACUGCCGUUCUGCAAAUAUUCAGUUCAGAACUAUUCACCACCAUGAACCCAAAGUAAAAGUUGAGAAAAAAGACUUUGAAGAAUCCAUGGAAGAGGCUCUAAACACGAACCAGGAGAUGCCUUUGAUGGAGGUGAAGAGUGAGCCCGAGGAGAACACCGAAUCCAGCAGUGAGAGCGACAGAGAGGACACAGAGCAGAAGUCUCCAAGAGGGCGAAGGAAAAUUGUUCGAGAUGCAAAUUCUAUUAAAAAAGAAAUAGAAGAAGAGAAAAUAGAAGAUAAAUUCAUCAAAGAUAAUACAGAAAAUAAGGAUGUCGAUGAAGACUAUGAAACAGCAGAGAAAAAAGAAAAUGAGCUGCUACUUGGGAGAAAAAGUACACCAAAGCACAAAGAGAAGAAACUUAAAAGGCCAGAGGCUUCUGAGAAAGACUCAGAUGAAGAGGAAGAGCCAAGCCAAGAGAGGGAAGACACUGAGAGCAAAUGCGACUCAGAAGGGGAGGAUGAUGACGAUGACACAGAACCCUGCCUGACAGGAACCAAAGUGAAAGUGAAGUAUGGACGAGGAAAAACGCAGAAAAUUUAUGAAGCCAGCAUUAAAAGCACCGAGAUCGAUGACGGGGAGGUUUUAUACUUGGUGCAUUAUUAUGGAUGGAAUGUCAGGUACGAUGAAUGGGUAAAGGCCGACAGAAUAAUCUGGCCCGUGGACAAAGGUGGACCAAAGAAAAAACAAAAGAAGAAAGUUAAGAAUAAAGAGGAUGGUGAAAAGGACGAAAAGAGGGAUGAAGAGAGGCAGAAGUCAAAACGGGGGAGACCUCCUUUAAAAUCCACGCCCUACAGUUUAUCUAAGGCUGCCAACAGCGAAGGGAAAUCAGACUCUUGUUCAUCUGAUAGUGAAACAGAAGACCCUUUGGAGAAGAGCUUGAUAAGUGAAGAACUUUCUACUGAUAUUAAAGAAGAAUUAGAAAAAAGUGAAAAUUUGAAUGAUGAUAAACUAGAUGAAGAAAAUCCAAAGAUUAUACAUCUAUUAAAAGAAAAUGACAGGACUCAGAUGCAACCCUCAGAGACCCUGAAGGUGGAGGUCGAAGACAAUGAUCAAAUAGUUCAUAUUUUUGGAAACAAAGUGGAACAAGUAGAAGAAGCUAAGAAACAGGUGGAAAAGUCCCCUAAAGGAAAGGGAAGGCGUAGUAAAACGAAAGACCUUUCUUUAGACAUUGUAAAGCUCUCGUCGUUCAGCCAGGAAGAAGCAGGCCCUGAAGCUCAUGCAGACACUCCUGGCCUGGAGUUUUCGUCACUAGAAUGUAAAAACUUCUCUUCUCCAGAAGAUGAGGUUGACCAAUAUGAAAAAGAGAAAAAGUUGAAACGGAAAAUACUGGGACAGCCAUCUCCAGAGAAAAAAGUAAGGCUUGAGAAUGGAGUGGAAGCAGCAGCUGGCCUAUCCCAAGAAAGAGCCAGCGAUGGUGCUGGAGCUGAGGGCCGGAGAGGCUUGCAUUUCGAGCAGCACUUUGAAAAAGGAAGUGAAGGAAUGCCAUCACUGAUAGCAGAGCCAGACCAGGGCACUCAGGAGCUGACCAGUGAGAAAUUGGACAGCCCAGCUGAAGAACCUGUGCAUACGCCACUCAAGGAGGAGGAGGACGUGAUGCCUCUGAUUGGGCCCGAAACCUUGGUUUGCCAUGAGGUGGACUUGGACGACCUGGAUGAGAAGGGACAGAGCGGUACUGAGGGUGUGGUAGUGGAAAGCUCCGAGUCUAACUCUCUGGUCUCCGUCCCGCCUGCCCUGCCUCCUGUAGCACAGCAUAACUUUUCAGUAGCUUCCCCUCUCGCUCUCAGUCAGGACGAGUCCCGGAGUGUAAAGAGCGAGAGCGAUAUAACAAUUGAAGUUGAUAGUAUUGCCGAAGAAUCGCAAGAAGGCCUCUGUGAGAGGGGAUCAGCAAACGGGUUUGAAGCCAGCGGUGCCCCUGGUACCUGUAGUUUAAUUGUCCAAGAGCGAGAGAGCAGAGAGAAGGGUCAGAAGAGGCCAAGCGAUGGAAAUAGUGGGUUGAUGGCAAAAAAACAGAAGCGAACCCCAAAGCGAACAAGUGCUACAGCCAAAAGCGAGAAGAACGGAGCAGGACAAAGCAGUGACAGCGAAGAUCUCCCCACCAUAGACAGUUCCAGCAAAUGCACGCCAGUCAAGCAUCUCAGCCUGUCUAAGCCGCAGAAGCUGGCUCGCUCCCCUGCAAGGAUCUCGCCUCACAUCAAAGAUGGAGAGAAAGAGAAGCACAGAGAAAAGCACCCAAAUUCAUCCCCCCGGACAUAUAAGUGGAGCUUCCAACUCAAUGAAUUAGAUAAUAUGAACAGUACAGAGAGAAUCUCUUUUCUCCAAGAAAAACUACAGGAAAUCAGAAAAUACUACAUGUCUUUGAAGUCUGAAGUUGCAACCAUAGACAGGAGGAGGAAAAGAUUGAAAAAGAAAGACAGAGAAGUGUCCCAUGCAGGAGCAUCUAUGUCAUCUGCUUCGUCAGACACUGGAAUGAGUCCCUCUUCAUCAUCUCCCCCGCAAAACGUCCUUGCUGUCGAGUGCAGGUGAUGAAAGUUUCCCCACCUUCCAGCAGUUUGCUGCCAUGGACUUAAAUUACAACACUCUGAACUCCAACUACAGAGAGCACUCAGCUGGCAAAGGACCUCCUGUAUAUUUUCCAGGAUUGUCUGUAUCCUCCUCUCUUCUUUUUUACUAUUGCAAAAAAUAAGCUUAUUAAUAAUUGAAGGUUAGGUGACCUGCCAUAUUGGUCAUAAUUUUUCCUCUGUAUUUUCUUUUUCUUUUUUUCUUCUUUUUUUUUUUUUNUUUUUUUUUUUUUUUUUUUUUUUUUUUUUUUUUUUUUUUUUUUUUGGUGAUAGAGAAAAAAGGGCACUUAGCAAAUUUGAAUUUGUAUGAUAAAGCUUUCAGGUGUUCUAGAAAUCCUAGACAAGCGAGUGCACGUGAUAAACAUCAGACCAUACCUGGCUGGACAGUGACCGCUGCACUUUCACUGUGUGUGAACAUGAACACUUGACUAUUGCCUCUGAAUCCUUUCCCUCCUGACUUACGGUGGAUGGAGAACUUGGAUUACCAGUGCUCCAGGCAUCCAGGAGACCAGACUGGCUAACUGACUAGAGCUGGCCUGAGAUAACCCGUGCUGGCCUGGGACCAACUGAGGCACAAGGGAAACCCAAGCAGCCAAAGUACGCGGUUAUGGGAUCCAGCAAAGAAGGAGAAACUACAAGAAUUUUUUUUGCAAGAGGUGCAAAUGGGAAAACUUUGUUUAGCUAGAGGUAAGAAUAAAAACAUUCUCAGGUCUUUUGUUCGUUUGUUUUGACUUUUUGUUGUGGUUUUUCCACCAGGGUCUCACUAUGUAGCCCUGUCUGUUCUGGAACCCAUUUUGUAGAUCAUGCUAGCCGCACACUCAGAGAUCCACUUGCCUCCAAAAGCUGGGAUUAAAGACAUGUGCCACCACAUCCAGGUAUUUUGUAAAUUUUAAAAUCAUUUUUCUUCAGAAAACUAUUUAAUUAGCUAGGCAUGGUGGCAUAUGCUUACAAACCCAGUACUUGAGAGGCAGAGGCAGGAGGAUUGAGUUUGAGGCUAGCCUGGACUAUUACAUAGAAAGGGAGAGUACGAAGGAAACACUGGUUAGUAUCUAGUAUCAGGUCAACUGGCUAGAUGUGGUAACCAACUCACUGCACUUGUAAGAAGUUGUCUCUGAAUCUUGUCUUGGUGUUACUGUCCCCACCUCCAUGUUAGAAUUAGCGUUGCUAUGUUGAACCUGAAAAGUAUGUCGAUAGGGACACCAAGACAAAUAUCAAAAAGCUUAACUUCAUUUAAAUAUCUCAGUAAAUGAGGGGACUGGUGAGAUGGCUCAGUGGUUAAGAGCACUGGCUGCUCUUCCAAAGGUCCUGGAGUUCAAUUCUCAGCAACUACAUGGUAGCUCACAAUCAUCUGUAACAUAAUCUGGUACCCUCUUUUGACCUUCAGGCAUACAUGCAAGUGGAACACUGUAUACACAAUAAAUCUUUUUUAAAAAAAAAUCUCAGUAAACGAAAUUCCUGAAUUAUCAAAUAUUGAGAAUCAAAACUUUUAACCUGAGUUUUGUGGAACAUACUUGUAAUCCCAGAACUCAAGAGGCAGAGUUGAAAUACCUGUGAAUUUGAGGCUACACUGGGCUACAGUGUCUCCAAAAGAUCACCUAAAAUGCAUUAUAAAAACUUUCCUGCCAGAGAUGGUGACCCGUGCUUUUAAUCCUGAGUUUGGCAGGGAGAAGCAGGAGGACUUCUCUGAGUUCAAGGACAAUUUGAUCUACCUAGUGAGCUACAGGAUAGUCAAGCUUUAUACUUAGUGUGGGACCAAGAGAGACCUAUACUUCAUGACCACUUGCUUUAACUUUUACCUAAUUCUAGAAGCACCUGAGAUCUCAAUAUUGUUAGUGACGGUAGGUGAUAUGCGCUCUGUACGAACAGCAUUUGUAGCAAUGCUUUCUUAAUUUCGGUGCUAAGUGCCACCAGGGAAAGGAAUCUGCUGUGACAUAGAUAAUGGAUAACUGAUAAUGAUGGAGAGUAAGCUUUACAUUUAUUAAGUAAAAUGUAUUUUCUGUAGCAUGAAUUCUAAUUGUUCUUAAUAAUAAAAACCUGGAAUCAGAUACAGGGUUAAUACUGAACAAUCAGAGCAGCAGAGUAGCCAACUACUAGAGUACUUACUUCUACCAAUGCUCAGCCCGAAUUAAAGGCGUGGGAUCCCAAGUGCUGGGAUCACCUUUGUGUGAGUUCUGUUUCUCUUUUAGACAGAGUCAAUCUCAUGGCUGGGAUCACUUUUGUGUGAACUCUGUCUCUUUUAGACAGAUUCAAUCUCCUGUAGCUCAGUGUGGCCUUGAACUCACAGAGAGCCUGGUCUAUAAGAGCAAGUUCCAAGACAGCUAGGACUAUUACACAGAAACCCUGUCUUGAAAAACAACAAACAAACAAACAAAAAUUGAUUUAUAAAUCUUUUUUUCAUCAGAAUGUGUAACUGGUGUUAAUAUAUAAGUCUUGUUUGGUGCUUUGAUAUUACAGUUAUUUUUUAAAAGUUUAACCACAGAGGCAGGAGUUUGCAAGAGUUCCAGGUCAGCCAAGGCUGGUUACAUGGUGAGAACUUUCCUCAAAACAACCAAAAUGGGGCUGGAGAAAUGGCUCAGUGGUUAGGAGCACCAGCUGCUCUUUCAGAGGACUUGGGUUCCAUCCCCAGCACCCAUGUGGUGGCUCACAACCAUCUAACUCCAUCCAGUCCCAGGGGAAUGCAAUGUCCUCUCUGACUCCAUGUUUAUACUGCAAAGACACACAUGCAGACAACACCUAUACACAUCAAAUACAUUUAAAAAAUAAAACAUACCAGAUGUUCCAUCUCUUAUACUUUACCAAACACGGAUGGUCUACCUCAUUCUAUUGAAGACUACAAGAUUAAAAAACCUUGCAUGGCCACUCUCCAUGCCCCAGAGCACUCCCAGUGCAAGAGUGCACAUCUAAAGUGAGUAAAUUAUUUAAUAAAUUAUUCAGAUGCCUAGUGCCCCCGACCGGUGCUCUUUGCUCAUCAUAGCCAUACUCAUCUGUAACUACACUUCCAGAAGGUUGGGUGUGGUGGCGCACACCUUUAAUCCCAACACUCAGGAGGCAGAGGCAGGAGGAUCUCUGUGAGUUUGAGGUCAGCCUGAUCUACAUAGCAAGCCAGGACUACAUAAAGACCCUACUCUAAACAAAACUAGCCCAGGGAAUUGGGCUUCUUUUCCGGCCACUACAGGCUUUGUACUCGUGUACACACACACUCAUAGACCACUCCCCGUAAUUAUUAAAAACAAUAACCCUUUCAAUUUCUUUCUUGCUUAACCUGUACCAAUCUGUUUCAGGAGAGCACGGAAUGGGGGUUGAACAUCUCACCAAUGCCCUUUUAGUGUGUGGGCAACCCAAGGAACUUCUGACGUUGUACAAACACACACUCCCUCCUGAGGUAUUUCAGAUGCUACUGUACAAAAUUCCCCUUAUCUGCCAGGUGAGCACGUACUUUAUCCUUGUGAAACAUUAUAUAACCAAGUGAACUUGAUUACAGAGAAAUGAUGACUAUGGUUGUGGACCCAAGGUUCUCAAUAUCUAGUUCUGGUUCUACUUUCAUUAAGGUAAGACUAGCUUAUUUUCCGUGUUCUAUUAUAGCGAAUUAUGUACUUUGUAUGUGUUUCAACAUUUCAAUUUUAAAGCAGAGUGGUACUUGUCACUAACAUUGACAAAACAGAGAAAUAGCUUUGUAAACCUAUCAUACAGGGCUAACAGUGCGUGGUGUGAUGUGACUUUAGAUUGGUAGCAGAUAAAGUCCAUUUAGAAGCUCUUCCUUUUGCCAGUUUGGGUAAAAAAAAAAAAAAAAAAAACCAAACAA